UACGUAGGGUGCGAGCGUUGUCCGGAUUUAUUGGGCGUAAAGGGCUCGUAGGCGGCUUGUCACGUCGGGUGUGAAAGCCCGGGGCUUAACCCCGGGUCUGCAUUCGAUACGGGCUGGCUGGAGUGUGGUAGGGGAGAUCGGAAUUCCUGGUGUAGCGGUGAAAUGCGCAGAUAUCAGGAGGAACACCGGUGGCGAAGGCGGAUCUCUGGGCCAUUACUGACGCUGAGGAGCGAAAGCGUGGGGAGCGAACAGG
rnacentral:rRNA from 1 species